GAUGAACGCUGGCGGCGUGCUUAAUACAUGCAAGUCGAGCCAAGCGGGGACGGGGGAGUAACACGUGGAUAACCUCCUAUAAGACUGGGCUAACUCCGGGAAACCGGAGCUAAACCGGAUAAUUAUAGAUGGAUCCGCGCUGCAUUAGCUAGUGGGUAAGGUAACGGCUUACCAAGGCAACGAUGCAUAGCCGACCUGAGAGCGUGCUCGGCCACACUGGAACUCUGACCCGGUCCAGACUCCUACUGGAGGCAGCAGUAGGACAUCUUCCGCCAUGGUCCAAUUCCUGACGCGCACACGCCGCGUAUGAGAUACAGGUCUUCGGAUCGUGAAUCUCUGUUAUUAGGGAAGCGGAACCUAAUCAGAGAGCCCCUGCUAACUACGUGCCAGGAGCCGCGGUAAUUC
rnacentral:rRNA from 1 species